rnacentral:rRNA from 1 species
GACGAAUGCUGGCGGCAUGCCUAACACAUGCAAGUCGAACGAGACCUUCGGGUCUAGUGGCGCACGGGUGCGUAACGCGUGGGAACCUGCCCUUAGGUUCGGAAUAACUCCCCGAAAGGGGUGCUAAUACCGGAUAAUGUCUUCGGACCAAAGAUUUAUCGCCUUUGGAUGGGCCCGCGUUGGAUUAGCUAGUUGGUAGGGUAAAAGCCUACCAAGGCGACGAUCCAUAGCUGGUCUGAGAGGAUGAUCAGCCACACUGGGACUGAGACACGGCCCAGACUCCUACGGGAGGCAGCAGUGGGGAAUAUUGGACAAUGGGCGAAAGCCUGAUCCAGCAAUGCCGCGUGAGUGAUGAAGGCCUUAGGGUUGUAAAGCUCUUUUACCCGGGAUGAUAAUGACAGUACCGGGAGAAUAAGCUCCGGCUAACUCCGUG